rnacentral:rRNA from 1 species
GGAUAACCUGCCCUUGGGUCCGGCAUAACCCCGGGAAACUGGGGAUAAUUCCGGAUAACGCAUAUGUGCUGGAAUGCUUUAUGCGUAAAAUGGAUUCGUCUGCCCAAGGAUGGGUCUGCGGCCUAUCAGGUAGUAGUGGGUGUAAUGUACCUACUAGCCGACAACGGGUACGGGUUGUGAGAGCAAGAGCCCGGAGAUGGAUUCUGAGACAUGAAUCCAGGCCCUACGGGGCGCAGCAGGCGCGAAAACUUUACAAUGCGGGAAACCGUGAUAAGGGGACACCGAGUGCCAGCAUCAUAUGCUGGCUGUCCGGGUGUGUAAAAUACACCUGUUAGCAAGGGCCGGGCAAGACCGGUGCCAGCCGCCGCGGUAACACCGGCGGCCCGAGUGGUGAUCGUGAUUAUUGGGUCUAAAGGGUCCGUAGCCGGUUUGGUCAGUCCUCCGGGAAAUCUGAUAGCUCAACUAUUAGGCUUUCGGGGGAUACUGCCAGGCUUGGAACCGGGAGAGGUAAGAGGUACUACAGGGGUAGGAGUGAAAUCUUGUAAUCCCUGUGGGACCACCUGUGGCGAAGGCGUCUUACCAGAACGGGUUCGACGGUGAGGGACGAAAGCUGGGGGCACGAACCGGAUUAGAUACCCGGGUAGUCCCAGCCGUAAACGAUGCUCGCUAGGUGUCAGGCAUGGCGCGACCGUGUCUGGUGCCGCAGGGAAGCCGUGAAGCGAGCCACCUGGGAAGUACGGCCGCAAGGCUGAAACUUAA